AAAUUAAAUUAAUAAGUCAAAAGCUCCGAAGUCUGUGAAACUCAGACACUGUGCCGCAACCGUUAAAGCCGGGUCGCAGGCUUUUGAUUUUAUCUCAUCAUCUUUCGCAGCAAAGGAGGUGAAAACUU
rnacentral:sRNA from 2 species